CAGUCGCCACGGUAAAACGGAGGGUGCAAGCGUUACUCGGAAUUACUGGGCGUAAAGCGUGCGUAGGUGGUGGUUUAAGUCCGUUGUGAAAGCCCUGGGCUCAACCUGGGAAUUGCAGUGGAUACUGGGUCACUAGAGUGUGGUAGAGGAUAGUGGAAUUUCCGGUGUAGCAGUGAAAUGCGUAGAUAUGCGGAGGAACACCGAUGGCGAAGGCAGCCCCCUGGGCCAACACUGACGCUCAUGCGCGAAAGCGUGGGGAGCAAGCAGGAUUAGAUACCCGGGUAGUCCCUGUCUCUUAUAC
rnacentral:rRNA from 1 species